rnacentral:rRNA from 1 species
UACAGAGGUCCCAAGCGUUGUUCGGAUUUACUGGGCGUAAAGGGUGCGUAGGCGGUCGGGUAAGUCUGAUGUGAAAUCUCUGGGCUCAACCCAGAAAUGGCAUUGGAUACUAUUCGGCUAGAGAGUUGGAGGGGGGACUGGAAUACUUGGUGUAGCAGUGAAAUGCGCAGAUAUCGUAAGGAAGACCAGUGGCGAAGGCGGGUCUCUGGACAGUUCCUGACGCUGAGGCACGAAGGCCAGGGGAGCAAACGGG